rnacentral:rRNA from 1 species
CCUACGGGCGGCAGCAGUGGGGAAUAUUGGACAAUGGGCGAAAGCCUGAUCCAGCCAUGCCGCGUGUGUGAAGAAGGCCUUCGGGUUGUAAAGCACUUUCAGUGGGGAAGAAAGCCUUGGGGCUAAUACCCUCGAGGAAGGACAUCACCCACAGAAGAAGCACCGGCUAACUCCGUGCCAGCAGCCGCGGUGAAUACGGAGGGUGCGAGCGUUAAUCGGAAUUACUGGGCGUAAAGCGCGCGUAGGCGGUCUGAUAAGCCGGUUGUGAAAGCCCCGGGCUCAACCUGGGAACGGCAUCCGGAACUGUCAGGCUAGAGUGCAGGAGAGGAAGGUAGAAUUCCCGGUGUAGCGGUGAAAUGCGUAGAGAUCGGGAGGAAUACCAGUGGCGAAGGCGGCCUUCUGGACUGACACUGACGCUGAGGUGCGAAAGCGUGGGUAGCAAACAGGAUUAGAUACCCCAGUAGUC